GGCGUGCAAUAUAUAUUCAACGUUCGUUUCAUUAAAAAAAAGGACGUGGUUAAUUAUGUCACUAUGUCUAGAGAUCUAGCUGCUUGACUUUGUAAUUUCAUACCAUGUCGGUGUUGAUUACAUAAUGACGUGGUUGUCCUUUUAAAAGUCGCUUGUUUAACCUACCUUGAUGUAUAUAUGCUCGGAGACGUCAGUUGUUUUAGACUAGCCGACGUGCAGAACAUCUG
rnacentral:lncRNA from 1 species